rnacentral:rRNA from 1 species
GGGCCCGCACAAGCGGUGGAGUAUGUGGUUUAAUUCGAUGAUACGCGAGGAACCUUACCAGGGCUUAAAUGUAGUGGGACAGGUCUAGAGAUAGACCCUUCUUCGGACUCAUUACAAGGUGCUGCAUGGUUGUCGUCAGCUCGUGCCGUGAGGUGUCAGGUUAAGUCCUAUAACGAGCGCAACCCCCUAUCGUUAGUUGCCAGCGAGUAAUGUCGGGAACUCUAACAAGACUGCCAGUGCAAACUGUGAGGAAGGUGGGGAUGACGUCAAAUCAUCACGGCCCUUACGUCCUGGGCUACACACGUGCUACAAUGGCCGGUACAGAGAGCAGCCACUUCGCAAGAAGGAGCGAAUCUAUUAAAACCCCGGUC